GUACACGCUGUGACUAGCAUAUCAAUAAGCGGAGGAAAAGAAACUAACAAGGAUUCCCCUAGUAACGGUGAGUGAAGCGGGAAGAGCUCAAAUUUGAAAUCUUAAAGGGUUUCCCUUUACGAAUUGUAGUUUAAAGAAGUGUUUUCUGUUGAGGUUUUGGUAAAAGUUCUUUGGAAUAGGACAUCAUAGAGGGUGAGAAUCCCGUAUUUGACCUUUACUUUCAACUUUGUCGAUACACUUUCAAAGAGUCGGAUUGUUUGGGAAUGCAGUCCAAAAUGGGUGGUAAAUUUCAUCUAAAGCUAAAUAUUGGCGAGAGACCGAUAGCGAACAAGUACCGUGAGGGAAGGAUGAAAAGAACUUUGAAAAGAGAGUUAAACAGUACGUGAAAUUGUCAAAAGGGAAGCGUUUGACACCAGUGUUGUUUUUCUGAAAAUCAAUUAAAGAACUGUUUAUGCUAAGCUGUUUAGACUUUAUCAGCUAUCUGUUUAGUUUUGAGCUUUUCUUUAAUGCACUUUUCAGUUAACAAGUCAACAUCAAUUUCUUUUGCUGUAAAAAAGCUUGAGGAAGGUGGCUUGAGAUUCGUCUUAAGUGUUUAUAGCCUCUUGCCUAUGCAGUCGGAGAGAUUGAGGUCUGCAGCGUAGAUCCUUCGGGGCUAAAUGCAUUUGUGCUAAGUUAUAGCAUUUUAUAGACAACUUGUUGACUAUGAUUUGUCUUGUAGCUUACUCGCUUAUGUUAUUUUACCUACGCUUAGGAUGUUGAAGAUGUAGCACAUCAU
rnacentral:rRNA from 1 species